CCAAAGAAAUGUCAGGCAAAUUGAAGACGAACUUCGUUUCUGGCUGUCGUGAAUGAUCUGGUGGACAUCUUAAGUUCAUGUAGACACGUGCCUGCCACUACUGUCCCAGAGUUCUUUGCAUUCGCGUUUCAUUGGAACCGAACAGUGACUGGACGAGGCAAGCUAACGCCAAAAAAGCUAACUAGUGUGCUAAGUAGGCUAACAGCAUGGAAGGACUGGAUGAGGUCACAGUGUCGGUUUUAAAGGCUGCAAACAUCAGCGAGGGAAUGAUGGGCACCCUGUCUCGUGAAGACUUGCAGGAUCUUUUCCCAGGCCCAGAGAACUUUUUACGGAGAAAAGCUGUCUGGCGUGCCUGUCAGGAUGUACUGGAGGAAUCUGGCCAAGAUGACUCAAAAUCUUCAACCAGCUCCUCCAUUAAUGAGUCACCCAAGCAACAGACAUCCACUACUGUAAAUGCAACUGCUGCAAAAUGCACAAGCCCUGAAAAGGUUGUGAAGUUAUUCUAUCCAGAAUAUGUAUUGCACA